AGCUGUUUAUGCCAGCCAGGGGAUGGCUCGGCUCAAGUGCUGAUGAAGGACGUGCCAAGCUGCGAUAAG
rnacentral:rRNA from 1 species